AUGGGGACAGGGCGUGGCCUAAUGAAGAAGGCGUGGUUACGGGAGGGCAUGGUCCCGGGGGAAGGAAGAGGGGGCGGUCCCGGUGCUCCCAGGACGGAUUUGGAGGGGGGCCGGGGGGCCUGGCCGGAUCAGGCCCGACCCCUCCCAUUCCCUGGGGUCUCGGGAACAAAAGCCAGAAUGUCACGGGCAGUAUCGGGACAGCGGGGCGACACGAGGGGACAGCGGAGGCGGGAGUGAUGUCCCCCGGGGGUCCCGGGUGGGGCUGGGAUCCCCACUUCCAGCUGUGGGUGCAGGCGCUGCUCUGGGCGCUGCUUUUGGGGCGCCUCCUCCACUAUUGGAUGGGCCAGGGCCGGGGGGAGCCGCACCGGGACCAGCCUGAGGCGGGGACACCCCAAAAACGAGGACGGAACCCCCCAAAGUGCUGCAGGCAGAGCUGGGACCUUCCCCUUCCUUGGACACCUCUGGUGGCCCUUCAAGGUGUGACCCCAGUGUUCCCAAGUGUCCCCAUGGCCUCGAGUGGCCUUUCCAGGUAUGUCCCCAGGUGUCCCCAUGUCCCCCAGGAUGGUGGUCCCCAGGGUCAUCCCUGUCACCCCCAGUGUGUCACCCACCCUGCCCAGGAUGUCCCCAACAUGUUGCUUGUCCCUCUGGGAUGUUCCUGAAGUGUCCUCUGCCCCACCCAAGUUUUCCCUUGUCCCUCUAAGGCCUCUCCCAUCCCUCCCAGGCUGUCCCCAAAGUGUCCCCUGCCCCCUCAGGCUGUCCCUGAGGUGUUCCAUGUCCCCAGGGGGAGUCUUGAGGGUCCCAGGGAGAUCCCAGGAGGGUAUUGGGGGUUCCUUGGGGACCUUGGGCAGUUCCCUAGGAGGAUUUGGGGUCCCUGGGGGGUAUUUGGGGAUAUCUGGGAGGGUGGGAUUUAGAGAGGUUUUGAGGAGAGUUUGAGGACUUUUCUGCCCUCCAGAUUGUGCUGAGCUUCGAGGACCGGCAGGGCCUGGACUGGACCAUCCAGGCCUUGACCCCCAGAGCACAUGGAGGUACCUGAAAUCCACAACUGGACCCCAAAAAUGCACACCUGGAUAUAAAAAAAUACAUCUGAACCCCAGAAUACAAACCUGAACCCAAAAAUAUACACUUGGAACCCAAAAUUACACCUCAAAAUUCUAAAAAACACCCCAUAAACCCUGAACCCCCAAACGUGGAGAUACUUGAAAUACAUCUGAACCCCAGGGGUUUGGGGGGUCCUAGAGCUGUGACCUCCAUAUUUGGGGUUUUCCCAGGGCUGUGACCCCCCUGUUUUUCAGCUUUUCGGGCAUCUCAGGGUGGUGUUUGGGGUCCCAGGGUGGUGACUCCUCUGCUUUUGGGGUCUUGGGUUGUCCGAGGGUGAUGUUUGGGGGUCCCAGGGCAGUGAUUCCCGCCCCCCCCUCAAGGUGGAAGCCUCAUCCAUUUGUUCCCAAAUGUGGGUCCCCAAUACUGGGCGGGGUUCCCCAAAACCGGGGGGGUCCCCAAAACCUCUGGAGGGGGGCUCCAACCACCCAAGGCUUUGUUGUUAAUCAGUUUGAGACAAAUCAAUAAAGUUUGGGUUAAAAAUCCA
ensembl:lncRNA